rnacentral:rRNA from 1 species
AACGAACGUUGGCGGCGUGGAUUAGGCAUGCAAGUCGAACGAGAAAGCCACCUUCGGGUGGUUAGUAAAGUGGCGAACGGGUGAGUAACGCGUGGGAAAUCUGCCCUACAGUUGGGGAUAACACUCCUAACGGAGUGCUAAUACCGAAUGAGACCACGAGAUCGCAUGGUCUUGAGGUUGAAGGUGGCCUCUCCUUGGAAGCUACCGCUGCAGGAGGAUCCCGNGUCCCAUUAGCUUGUUGGCAGGGUAACGGCCUACCAAGGCUUCGAUGGGUAGCUGGGUCUGAGAGGAUGGGUCCAGCCACACUGGGACUGAGAUACGGCCCAGACUCCUACGGGAGGCAGCAGUCGAGAGGCUUC